GGCCCGGCCGGGCGGUCCGCUACUUCGGUGGCGCGUACUGCUCUUCAGGCUGGGCCUUUCCUCCGGGACAGUCGCGGCUGUCGCUUUCGGGCGGCGGUCGUGGCCAGCCUGGACGUUUACCUUGAAAAAAUUAGAGUGUUCAAAGCAGGCGCACGCUUGUAUAGAUUAGCAUGGAAUAAUGGAAUAGGACCUGUGGUCUUGUUUUGUUGGUUUCUGAGACCGCGGUA
rnacentral:rRNA from 1 species